rnacentral:misc_RNA from 1 species
AUUUUGACAGAUAUCAGUUGAUUAUGUAAACGUAAACCAAAUGACAGGUUUUUGAAAGUUGGUGUUUUAGUUAUUUCUCAUAAACAUCAAUGAAAAUUCCAAAUUUUUUGAAAAGUGUAUUGUACGGAGUGCCUGUUGGUAUUACAAUUAUCGAUAUUGUUGGUUACAUCGCGAGAGUCGAUGGAAUUUCUAUGCAACCGGCCCUAAAUCCAGACAAAACUAAAGCAGAUUAUGUGUUUUUGAAUAGGUGGGCAGUGAAAGACUAUCAGAUCCAAAGGGGAGAUAUCAUAUCGUUGAUUUCACCUAAAGAUCCGUCCCAGAAGAUCAUCAAACGAGUCAUAGGGUUAGAAGGGGAUGUAAUAUCAACAUUACGAUACAAAACAGACAUAAUCCGAAUACCAGAAGGCCACUGCUGGAUCGAGGGCGACCACACUGGUCAUUCUAUGGACUCUAACAACUUCGGUCCCGUAUCCGUAGGCCUUGUGACUGCCAAAGCGACUUGCAUAGUGUGGCCCCCUUCCAGGUGGCAGCUCAUUUACUCAUCUGUACCUGAAUCUCGAAGACCUCUUAAUCUGAAACCUAGUUUGAAGUCCGGAAGCCUAGUGGAAAUUGCGAAGUGUUAAUACGAUGAGAGCUAUAUCAUUAGUAAACAGAUUCGAGUUUGAGUUUCCCGGGAACGUGGCUAGGAAUGCUAUUAUAUUAGGAGAUGUGGAUAACGAUGGCUGUAAUGAGUUAAUUGUGGGGAAUCAAAAUGGAGAAGUGGCGAUAUUCAAAGGCAGGGAAAGACACCAAUCCAUUCCAAAACUGAACUUCAUCGGCUGCAUGGCUGUAGGAGAUAUUACAAACCAGAAUAAGAAUGUACUGAUAGUGAUCACUGCCGAUGGUUGGUGUUACCUCUAUAUCAACCCAGUACCACUUGUAGAAGACUCAUUUCAAAAGGAAAAAGAUGAGGG